CUUUGGGUUUUGUUCUCACGGGCAGAUUCAUUGUGAGCCCUUCCUUAAGGCCAAGCUAACCCAGAGCUCCCGAAAAACACUCCACACGGGCACAGCAGCACAACAAAAGGAGUCUCCCGAAUCAGCAGAUGUGGCUUCUUUUAGCUGAAUAAUCCGUUAAAGGAAUAAUAAUUUUUAAAAGGGGGAUCGACCUCACCCAAAGAGGACGGCGAGCGAGAUUAGGGCUUGAUGUACUGCCUUUCGUUGGAACGCCGCGGACUGAGACCAGUCCCUCAAGAAGAAGAACAAAAAGACGAAGACCUGAGUGGACCCCCCACCCACCCCCGCCCCGGACAAAGCACUUUGGGCUCGGCGAGAAGGGACGAGCCGGAGCGCUAGCUCGGGAAUACGAGUGAUCUCCGGUCCGCCCGGCGUGCGGACCUCCGAGGGGACUCGAAUUUUAUUUAGCCUCUUGGGAUCCAGCGCAUUAGACAAGAGUGACCUUUUAUAUCUGUGCCCACCCUUCACCUGCGAGAGGACUGCAGCAACCGAGUUCUGGAAGGCUGAUUCCCCAGAUUCUGGCCCCGGACCCCGGCAGCUCGCCCCUGCGGCACGCCCGGCCGGGUAGCGCCUGGACUCAGCAAGCUAGGAAAAAGCCUGGAUCCGAAAGGAUGGGGGAGAACAAAGAGCCUUUGCAAGACGUCGCUGUUAUCUCAUUGUCUGUGUGACUGGGGGAGCUGCGGUAGAGAGGAUGCUGUGGUCCUUUCCUCCCGGCGCUCCCCCACCCCCACGCCUUUCCCCGCUGUCAGUGCGCACGCACACGCGCCGCUUUUUACUUGUUUUUCCCGUUUUCUCAUUCCAUCUUCUCCCCACCCGCCCCCCUGCUUUCUUCCACC
ensembl:lncRNA